UACAGAGGGGCAAGCGUUAUUCGGAAUUAUUGGGCGUAAAGGGCGCGUAGGCGGCCUGGCAAGUGGAUGGUGAAAUCCCUCGGCUUAACCGAGGAACUGCCAUCCAGACUGCUUGGCUUGAGACCGGGAGAGGUGAGUGGAAUUCCCAGUGUAGCGGUGAAAUGCGUAGAUAUUGGGAGGAACACCAGUGGCGAAGGCGGCUCACUGGACCGGUACUGACGCGUGAGGCGCGGAAAGCGUGGGAGCAAACGGG
rnacentral:rRNA from 1 species